AGGGGAGCGUUCUGUAAGCCUGUGAAGGUGGCCUGUGAGGGUUGCUGGAGGUAUCAGAAGUGCGAAUGCUGACAUAAGUAACGAUAAAGCGGGUGAAAAGCCCGCUCGCCGGAAGACCAAGGGUUCCUGUCCAACGUUAAUCGGGGCAGGGUGAGUCGACCCCUAAGGCGAGGCCGAAAGGCGUAGUCGAUGGGAAACAGGUUAAUAUUCCUGUACUUGGUGUUACUGCGAAGGGGGGACGGAGAAGGCUAUGUUGGCCGGGCGACGGUUGUCCCGGUUUAAGCGUGUAGGCUGGUUUUCCAGGCAAAUCCGGAAAACCAAGGCUGAGGCGUGAUGACGAGGCACUACGGUGCUGAAGUGACAAAUGCCCUGCUUCCAGGAAAAGCCUCUAAGCAUCAGGUAACAUCAAAUCGUACCCCAAACCGACACAGGUGGUCAGGUAGAGAAUACCAAGGCGCUUGAGAGAACUCGGGUGAAGGAACUAGGCAAAAUGGUGCCGUAACUUCGGGAGAAGGCACGCUGAUAUGUAGGUGAAGCGACUUGCUCGUGGAGCUGAAAUCAGUCGAAGAUACCAGCUGGCUGCAACUGUUUAUUAAAAACACAGCACUGUGCAAACACGAAAGUGGACGUAUACGGUGUGACGCCUGCCCGGUGCCGGAAGGUUAAUUGAUGGGGUUAGCGGUAACGCGAAGCUCUUGAUCGAAGCCCCGGUAAACGGCGGCCGUAACUAUAACGGUCCUAAGGUAGCGAAAUUCCUUGUCGGGUAAGUUCCGACCUGCACGAAUGGCGUAAUGAUGGCCAGGCUGUCUCCACCCGAGACUCAGUGAAAUUGAACUCGCUGUGAAGAUGCAGUGUACCCGCGGCAAGACGGAAAGACCCCGUGAACCUUUACUAUAGCUUGACACUGAACAUUGAGCCUUGAUGUGUAGGAUAGGUGGGAGGCUUUGAAGUGUGGACGCCAGUCUGCAUGGAGCCGACCUUGAAAUACCACCCUUUAAUGUUUGAUGUUCUAACGUUGGCCCGUAAUCCGGGUUGCGGACAGUGUCUGGUGGGUAGUUUGACUGGGGCGGUCUCCUCCUAAAGAGUAACGGAGGAGCACGAAGGUUGGCUAAUCCUGGUCGGACAUCAGGAGGUUAGUGCAAUGGCAUAAGCCAGCUUGACUGCGAGCGUGACGGCGCGAGCAGGUGCGAAAGCAGGUCAUAGUGAUCCGGUGGUUCUGAAUGGAAGGGCCAUCGCUCAACGGAUAAAAGGUACUCCGGGGAUAACAGGCUGAUACCGCCCAAGAGUUCAUAUCGACGGCGGUGUUUGGCACCUCGAUGUCGGCUCAUCACAUCCUGGGGCUGAAGUAGGUCCCAAGGGUAUGGCUGUUCGCCAUUUAAAGUGGUACGCGAGCUGGGUUUAGAACGUCGUGAGACAGUUCGGUCCCUAUCUGCCGUGGGCGCUGGAGAACUGAGGGGGGCUGCUCCUAGUACGAGAGGACCGGAGUGGACGCAUCACUGGUGUUCGGGUUGUCAUGCCAAUGGCACUGCCCGGUAGCUAAAUGCGGAAGAGAUAAGUGCUGAAAGCAUCUAAGCACGAAACUUGCCCCGAGAUGAGUUCUCCCUGACUCCUUGAGAGUCCUGAAGGAACGUUGAAGACGACGACGUUGAUAGGCCGGGUGUGUAAGCGCAGCGAUGCGUUGAGCUAACCGGUACUAAUGAACCGUGAGGCUUAACCUU
rnacentral:rRNA from 1 species